rnacentral:lncRNA from 1 species
CUGAAAUUUCUCAUAAUAUAAUCUAAACAAUUGGCAAGGACAAUGGCUAACGUUCAAAUGUGUGGAUUCAUGCACGUAGAUUACAGUUACCAAAUCUAGCACCUCGUCCUAGUUAAUAUAUAUGCAGUCUCUCCACUGAAAUCAUACCACCCCUCUUAGUGGUUUAACCAGGCAUUCUUCGUUGCUUUGAAGAGAGAGCCGCGAAGAAAGCCUCAAUGUCCGGGGAGCUGAAGAACGCCUUGGGAGGUGCUGAGCACGGCUCCAUCCUCGGCUUCCUUGGUGGCGGCGGCGGGGGGCGUGUCGGAGCCUCAGAGAUCCUGCAUUCUGCCGCCCUCGGCGUCCUGCAUGCCUCAUCGGGCUUCUCUUCCACCGCAGCUGCCUCUUCGAGGCGGCCCAUCAAGAACUCCUGAGACC